rnacentral:rRNA from 1 species
GAUGAACGCUGGCGGCGUGCCUCAAACAUGCAAGUCGAGCGGGGCUAUGUAAUACCGCAAGGUAGAACAUAGCCUAGCGGCGAACGGGUGAGUAACACGUGGGUAACCUGCCUGGAAGACAGGGAUAACGAUUCGAAAGGGUCGCUAAUACCUGAUAAUAUCCUUUCAUCGCAUGGUGAUAGGAAGAAAGGGGAAACCCGCUUUCAGAUGGGCCCGCGUCCCAUCAGCUAGUUGGUAAGGUAAAGGCUUACCAAGGCGACGACGGGUAGCCGGUCUGAGAGGAUGUACGGCCACACUGGGACUGAGAUACGGCCCAGACUCCUACGGGAGGCAGCAGUUGGGAAUCUUAGGCAAUGGACGAAAGUCUGACCUAGCGACGCCGCGUGAGGGAAGAAGGCCUUCGGGUUGGUAAACCUCUAGUCAUGGGGAAGGAAGUAAGUAGACGGUACCCAACGAGGAAGACCCUCGCUAACUAACGUGCCAGCAGCCGACGGUAAUGAGUAGUACA